rnacentral:rRNA from 1 species
GACGUAGGGGGCAAGCGUUGUUCGGAAUUAUUGGGCGUAAAGAGCUCGUAGGCGGUUUGUCGCGUCUGCUGUGAAAACCCGAGGCUCAACCCCGGGCCUGCAGUCGAUACGGGCAGACUAGAGUGCGGUAGGGGAGACUGGAAUUCCUGGUGUAGCGGUGAAAUGCGCAGAUAUCAGGAGGAACACCGGUGGCGAAGGCGGGUCUCUGGGCCGUAACUGACGCUGAGGAGCGAAAGCGUGGGGAGCGAACAGG